rnacentral:tRNA from 1 species
GCGCGAGUGCUGGAACUGGUAGACAGGCAUGGUUGAGGGCCAUGUGUCCUACGGGCGUAUGGGUUCAAGUCCCCUCUCGCGCACCA